GUUCAGAUGGUUUUUUCAAGAGACUCUUGAAAGAUUAUGGGUUAUUGUUUAGUUACUGAUUUGCUUACUGGCUGUUUGGUAAGUUAUUGAUUCGUUGUUCACUGAUAGUUUAGGGUUGUUCACUGAUAGUUUAGGGUUGUUCAUUGAUAGUUUAGUGUUGUUAAGUUAUUGAUUUGUUGUAUCACUGAUUUACUUGGUUAUUGUUAA
rnacentral:lncRNA from 1 species